rnacentral:rRNA from 1 species
UACGGGGGGGGCAAGCGUUGUCCGGAUUGACUGGGCGUAAAGCGCACGCAGGCGGUUGCGCGCGUGGGGGGUGAAAUCUGGCCGCUUAACGGCCAGGCGCCAUCCCAUACGGCGCGACUGGAGUGAUGCAGAGGUCGAUGGAAUUGCCGGUGUAGUGGUGAAAUGCGCAGAUAUCAGGAGGAACACCGGUGGCGAAGGCGGUGGUCUGGGCCGGCACUGACGCUGAGGAGCGAAAGCGUGGGGAGCAAACGGG